UUAAAUACCAUUCCUCAUCAAAUCACACCAUCUAUUCAUUCAAUUCCAUCGAAUUUGCCCUUUGUUUUGCUUAGAGAUGUCUCAACCUCAGCUCUUCACCAUCGAUUUCUUGAGAAUCGAAAGUGAUAAUAAUGGCAGCCCCCAAUCGGAUUCCGCCAUGGAUUGCCACCAACAACUUGUGCACAGUCGAUCAAUGUAGUCAUCCCUGGGAAAGAUCAGACCUCAUUUGCUGCAACAAGUUCUCUCACAAGGAUGUUUGAGCGAUUCAGAAAAUUUCCACAGAGAAGGUCAUAUUGGGGUUUCUGAAGGAAUUAAGACUCUGGAUCUAUUUCCCCUGCAUCCUCUAGGGUUUCAAUCCAACAGUAAAUAGGACGAGCCAAUCGGCUUUGUUGGAUACACAAAUUGAAAUUUCUGAAGCUGUUACAACCAAUCCAGCAAUUUUGUACAAUCAUCCAAGGCAAAGUGUUUCAAAUUCAGAAGAAUCCACAGAAGGGGGAAAGCAAAGGCACGCUGUUAAAACAUCAAAUGCCAAUCUUCCGAUGGCUAAGAGGUUAUCACUUCAACGAUUUCUGCAGAAACGGAAGGACAGACUCUGCAAAAUCAUUCCCUACACGACGUCAUCAAUGUAAUUGUUUAGUUGGCAAAGGAUAAGAUUUCUUAUCCGGCAGAGAUAGUGGAGUUUCACCAUACAAUUCAAUUCCCACGCGUUUUGUUCAAUUGACUCCUCCUCUCCACCUGCAAUAUUGAGAAUCUAAUCGCCAUGUGCGCCAGUGGAUGUAAUUGGAAUCAACGAGAAAUAUAUGUUUAAAAUCACGAGGCCGGCAUUUGUUAUUGCGCUAUGUAAAAUACAAUUCUUCUCCAGAUAUUCAAUCAGAAUUAUAUUCCUCAAUAAUGUAUUUUGAGGAAUUUAAAGGUGGAGCUAUCAUUAAAUCCUCAAGGACUAGGUAAACAUGGGAUAUUCAGUCUAUAUUUAUGUGUAUGUACAUUUAUAGUAUUUAUCACAUUCAUUUAUGUAUUAAGUUUCUAGUAUGUUAUUAUAAUCCAUUUAUUAGUAAUGCAUCAGUUAGAUGCAAUUAUUAUUU